CCUACGGGAGGCAGCAGUGAGGAAUAUUGGUCAAUGGACGAGAGUCUGAACCAGCCAAGUAGCGUGAAGGAUGACUGCCCUAUGGGUUGUAAACUUCUUUUAUAAAGGAAUAAAACGAGGCACGUGUGCCUUUUUGCAUGUACUUUAUGAAUAAGGAUCGGCUAACUCCGUGCCAGCAGCCGCGGUAAUACGGAGGAUCCGAGCGUUAUCCGGAUUUAUUGGGGUUAAAGGGAGCGUAGAUGGGUUGUUAAGUCAGUUGUGAAAGUUUGCGGCUCAACCGUAAAAGUGCAAUUGAUACUGGCAGUCGUGAGUACAGUUGAGGUAGGCGGAAUUCGUGGUGUAGCGGUGAAAUGCUUAGAUAUCACGAAGAACCCCGAUUGCGAAGGCAGCUUACUAAACUGUGACUGACAUUGAUGCUCGAAAGUGUGGGUAUCAAACAGGAUUAGAUACCCCAGUAGUC
rnacentral:rRNA from 1 species